AUGAAACACAAUUUUGAAUUUGAGUGCUUCAAUAUUUAGUGCUUUGUUGUCUAGUAAGAAAGAUGUAUUGAUUCCGUGUGCUUAUGUUUGACUAGUAAAAUCUGUGUGUUUGUGUCAUAUUAUUCUUUUUCAGGCCAAUAAUUCAGAGAAAGAUUGAUGUUCUCGGACAGGCUGGGUUAUCGGAGUCUGCUUUUUCUGAGAACACAGAAUCUACAGAUUUUUUGAAAAAGGUAAGUCAGAUUCCAAACACUUAGUUGCCUGCUCAGCCAUUUGCUAAGCAAAAAUGAAUAUUAUACACUUAACAAAUAGAAAUAUGGUCGAUCAGGGAGCACUGCUUAUGUAACCAAAGACACUGAGGGUAAAAAUAGGAGUUUCUUAUAUAUUCAUGUUGCAAAAUAAUAAUGUAAACAUUUUACCUUACAAUGUAGUCACCAAAACAACUUUAGCUCAAUGAAACCCCUGCAGUCUCACUGCUCAAUUCUGUCAUUUAGGAGUUAAAUCAAUUUGUUUAUACAGCCCGAUUUACACCUCCCUACAGGUGACUUGCACAGCCUUCCUAAACACUUUCUGUAAAAUGUCAUCUAAUGUUUAUACUUCCCUUAUUGUAAAUUCACAUAGAUUUAGAAUUUCGUAUCUCCUGCUCUGUUAAUAACUUGCUAGACCCAGCGUAAUUAAAAGUUCAAUUUACAGAGCAGAAGAUGAUGAAUCUGAGUAAGUUACCAUCUAAAUGAAAAUGAAACAUUUUUUUCAUGCAGGCUGUGUCAGUCACAGCCAGAGUAGAUGUGGCAAAAGUGAUUUAACUCCCAAAUGGCGAGGCAUGAUUUAUACACGCAAACUGCUUCUUUAAGAUAGUUGUUUUGGUGACUAUAGUGUCCCUUUAAAUAAUAAAAAAAUGACUGUUUUCCUUCAUUGAUUUCUUGUAGGAUCCGAAACAGAUGAUUCUUGAUGAUCUAUUCAUGGUGUCUAACACGGAGGACAGAGAUAUUGAUAAUGUAGAUAAUGUAGAUGAAGCUUUAUUUCUAAAGGCCUGUGAGGAAGUGGAACAAGAAACUCCGCUGGACUACAGCUCAGACGAAUACGUGGCAAGCCCCUCCAAAAAAAGGAGAACCGAAGAUCCGUUUAAAUCAUGGCGUUAAAAGGAAGAUAGGUUUUAUCUGUACAGUGUUUGUAAGAUUUUUAUUUUUAAACUUUAAGUAUAUUUUGUAC